GUCUCCCACAUUGUAGGCAGACACUUUACUGUCUGAACCACAUGGGAAUUCGAGAGAUUAGUUUAGACUUGGACAUUUAAAGGUCUGAAAGGUUGUUGAGUCAGUCAAAUAGAGGUGGACAACUAAGCACUUAGAUGUAAGGGUUUUGAAGUAAGGGAAAGAGGGUUGAACUAGAAGAUAGUUUGGGAAGUUCAGCCUAGCAGUGAUAACAUGUGAGAGAAGAGAGAAAACAAAGGACAGAAUCUUGGAGAACAUCAUCUUUAGAACCUUGUGGUCAAUGGCCCAGCAGCACUGGCAUCACCAGGAGGUUUGUUGGAAAGGUGGAAUCUCAGACCUGCUGAAUCGGGUCUUUGAUUUAACAAGAACCCCAAGUGAUUGUAUCACCUUGAAGUUUAAGAAGCUCAGACCUAGACGAGAAAAGCCAACAAAUAAAGAAGGGAUUUCAUCUAGAUAGAGAAGUCAACAAAGAAAGAGAGGAAGAAGUGGGAGGAGAACCAGAGCAACACAGAAUCACCAUAGCAAGAUACAUUGGAGUUUCACAAAGACAGGGGCAGGAAGGAGAGUUGAUCGCAAUAUCCAAAACCACAGAGGUCAAAAAAGCACCAGGAAAGAAGCUAGAUUAUGCAGAUGACUACAAGACCUUGGGAUUGGCAGACAGUAAGAAAGAAGGUGUAGAGAUGAAGGAGAGUUGCCCACUGACCUGGAAUACCCACUCUGGAUUAUUAUAGCUUUUUGAAUCCUGGAACUCUGUGGAAAGUGAGGGGAACUGGUUUUUACCAGUGAGACCAAGGAAUCCUACUCCCUAGAGGCUAGAAAUUAGAAGUCUUUGAGCACAGGGCAACAGUUUGCGUGCCAGAUCCCUUUUACCACAUUUCCAGCUCUAGAUUCAUGAGAAUGAAGACUCAACAGCUAAGCUGCCUGAACUGAAGCAUUCCAUGUAUUGAUGUACCGCCUCGCAGUGAUUUUGUUGCCAUAGGAACUGUUUGUGUACCAGUCAUAAGCCCAGGUAUUGUGAAGACCAACUGCUAUGACAAGCCUUUCCACACCACAGCUGACAGUUGAACUAAACUACUGUGUGCUAAGAAACAGUAUGUGCCUGUCAAUGGUAGACUAAUUUUGACCUAAGCUAUAAUCUUUAAUGCAUAAAAUUUACAACUGAUAUAACUAAAAGGAGAACUAUAACCAGAAACCUUACAGAACCUAUCACUUUAAUUUUAUAAAGGUAAAGUGAUUUAAAUAUCAAGGUUCUAUAUUCUAGAAAUGGGGAACUUUUCAGCUCUAUACCACCAAGCCAGAUGUCAUCCCACAUUCCUACACAGUAACCAGAACAAUAACUAACAGGAUUGCAGCAGUUCUCUGUGUCGCUGGGGACAGGCAGAGGAGACGGCACUUCAGGCAUGAGGUGCCUUACAUCCACAGGGCUAUCCCAGCAUGUGGGCCAAUCACACAAAGCACAAAACACGUCUUAGUAGUAAUUAUUUAUGUGUGUUAGGUUUUAACUGACCCAAUUCCUUUCCCGAUCUCCCUCCUCUACAUCAUCUUUACACAGCUGAUGAGAAG